CCCUUAGAUGUUCUGGGCCGCACGCGCGCUACACUGACGAUGUCAGAGAGUGUCUCCUUCCCCGAGAGGUGUGGGUAAUCUUUUAAACAUCGUCGUGCUGGGGAUAGAUCAUUGCAAUUUUUGAUCUUAAACGAGGAAUUCCUAGUAAGCGCGAGUCAUCAGCUCGCGCUGAUUACGUCCCUGCCCUUUGUACACACCGCCCGUCGCUACUACCGAUUGAAUGGUUUAGUGAGGCCUUCUGACUGGCGCCGCUACUCUGGCAACAGAGCGGCGGAUGCCGGGAAGUUGGUCAAACUUGAUCAUUUAGAGGAAGUAAAAGUCGUAACA
rnacentral:rRNA from 1 species